AAUGCCGGAUGCUCCAGUUGAUCGCAUGGUCUUCUGGGAAAGCUUUCGCGGUAUGGGAUGGGGUCGCGUCCUAUCAGCUUGACGGCGGGGUAACGGCCCACCGUGGCUUCGACGGGUAGCCGGCCUGAGAGGGCGACCGGCCACAUUGGGACUGAGAUACGGCCCAGACUCCUACGGGAGGCAGCAGUGGGGAAUAUUGCACAAUGGGCGCAAGCCUGAUGCAGCGACGCCGCGUGAGGGAUGGAGGCCUUCGGGUUGUAAACCUCUUUUAUCGGGGAGCAAGCGUGAGUGAGUUUACCCGUUGAAUAAGCACCGGCUAACUACGUGCCAGCAGCCGCGGUAAUACGUAGGGUGCAAGCGUUAUCCGGAAUUAUUGGGCGUAAAGGGCUCGUAGGCGGUUCGUCGCGUCCGGUGUGAAAGUCCAUCGCUUAACGGUGGAUCCGCGCCGGGUACGGGCGGGCUUGAGUGCGGUAGGGGAGACUGGAAUUCCCGGUGUAACGGUGGAAUGUGUAGAUAUCGG
rnacentral:rRNA from 2 species